ACAGGACGUAGAACAGGAGCUCUCUGUCCGUGGGGAGGUCGAAGGAGUCGAAGAGGUGCAGGACGAGGAGCGAGGCCGCGAUGCAGCUCAGGCGGAAGGGCAGCUGCUGGCCCAUUUUCCCUUUGCAGCUCUCCAGGUACAUCUGGGAGUUGAGGGCCAGCCCCAGCCCAAACAGGAUGCCCAGGUUCCU